rnacentral:lncRNA from 1 species
UUAAAGCUGACUAUGUGGUAUGGGUUUUGUUCAUUGUUGAAGGCUGUAAGGGUGAUCUAAAGUUGUUAAUUUCUGUGUCAUCUGGUCUCUUGAGGCCAGUUGUCUCAUUUGGAAAUCAUCUACCACAUCUUCUUUUUUUUAUUCUUAGAAUGUUAGUUUUAAUAUGAAAAAUAUAUGUUUCAAACUUUUCAAAUUUAGAAAUUAUAGACAGUUAUUGUCAAAAUUUUUAGUAUGUGUGCUUUUUCAAAAACAAAAAACAUUGAAAUUGGAAAAAAUCAUAAUAUACAUGAAGGCCUGAGGGUCCAUUAUUUCUGUUUUCAUUCAAUAUAUUUGUUGGUCCUGUUUUGCUGUGGUAUUGGUCCAUUAUGCUAUAUUCUUUAACCCCAUUCAGACCCUCAUUUCGCUUAAUGAAAGGCUAUGUCUGAUUAUUGCAAGAUGUCAAAACUUCAUAAAAAAUUAACACCAUUUUACUUUCUGUUUAAAUUCAUAUACUGAU